UUAUCGUUUAUUUGAUAGUACCUUACUACUUGGAUAACCGUGGUAAUUCUAGAGCUAAUACAUGCUAAAAACCCCAACUUCGGGAGGGGUGUAUUUAUUAGAUAAAAAACCAAUGCCCUUCGGGGCUCCUUGGUGAUUCAUAAUAACUUCUCAGAUCGCAUGGCCUUGCGCCGGCGACGGUUCAUUCAAAUUUCUGCCCUAUCAACUUUCGAUGGUAAGGUAUUGGCUUACCAUGGUUUCAACGGGUAACGGGGAAUUAGGGUUCGAUUCCGGAGAGGGAGCCUGAGAAACGGCUACCACAUCCAAGGAAGGCAGCAGGCGCGCAAAUUACCCAAUCCCGACACGGGGAGGUAGUGACAAUAAAUACUGAUACAGGGCUCUUUAGGGUCUUGUAAUUGGAAUGAGUACAAUUUAAACCUCUUAACGAGGAACAAUUGGAGGGCAAGUCUGGUGCCAGCAGCCGCGGUAAUUCCAGCUCCAAUAGCGUAUAUUAAAGUUGUUGCAGUUAAAAAGCUCGUAGUUGAACCUUUGGCCUGGCUGGCGGGUCCGCCUCACCGCGUGCACUCGUCCGGCCGGGCCUUUUCUUCUGGAGAACCGCAUGCCCUUCACUGGGUGUGUUGGGGACCAGGACUUUUACUUUGAAAAAAUUAGAGUGUUCAAAGCAGGCCUUUGCUCGAAUACGUUAGCAUGGAAUAAUAGAAUAGGACGUGCGGUCCUAUUUUGUUGGUUUCUAGGACCGCCGUAAUGAUUAAUAGGGACAGUCGGGGGCAUCAGUAUUCAAUUGUCAGAGGUGAAAUUCUUGGAUUUAUUGAAGACUAACUACUGCGAAAGCAUUUGCCAAGGAUGUUUUCAUUAAUCAGUGAACGAAAGUUAGGGGAUCGAAGACGAUCAGAUACCGUCGUAGUCUUAACCAUAAACUAUGCCGACUAGGGAUCGGGCGGUGUUACUAUUUUGACCCGCUCGGCACCUUACGAGAAAU
rnacentral:rRNA from 1 species